ensembl:lncRNA
UUAUUUGCUGCGGAGACCAGCUUCAGGACAGCUCUCCUUCACACAUUGCUGCAUCUUAGCCUACAUCCGGACUUUCAUGAUUGCCAAGGAAUGACAAGACACUAGAGAAGACUUUACUAAUUAACUAGGCCAAGCUAUCUGCUGCCCAGACUCCCUGCAACUUCAGUCAAAGCUGCCAAACUUAUAUGUACAAGUUUGGAUAGUGAUGUUCUUCUCCACUUGUGAUGUUCUAAUGAGUUGUUAAAUAUUUGCCCUCUAUUCAGGAAAAGGUGCUUUGUGCUAGCAAGAAAUGUGUUUUUUCUAUCUGUAUCCCGUGGAAAGUCAGUACACCUACCUCUGUUGUGUAUGCUCAUUUGGGCAAAUCUUUAUCUUCUGCCUCCCUGUAGUAAGCCACAUGUUGAUGACACUGUGAUGGCCUCCAGAGUCUCUAAGAAAUGCUGGGUGCAUCCUGUAUACUGCUGAAGGAUGAGGAGCCAGGGAGAGAGCCUCUUAUUUUUUCUCAGGACAAAAGCAAUCCUGGAUGCAAAACAUUCUGCUAGGCAGUUUCCAACUCUGAUUCUUCCACUGCCUGAAUAUACGAAACACUGUCUAUGUGAAACAUUUUCCACUCUUUGGAGAUACCCUUUUUCCUCUGUCAUCUUCAUUAUACUUAUAUGUUAAUAUAUAUUAUUUUGCAAUUUACAAAGCCUGUUCCUUAAAUAUAUAAAUGUGUACAAUUACGGUUAUUGUAUAUAUAUAAACAUAAACCAAUUUAUGUGAAAAUAAACCAGUUGUGACACUAUUUUUCCUU